AUGAAGUUCAAUCCCUUUGUGACUUCUGACCAAAGUAACAACCACAAAAGGCAUUUCAAUGCACCUUCCCACAUUCGCAGGAAGAUUUUGUCUUCCCUUCUUUCCAAAGAGCUAAGAGACAAGUACAAUGUUCGAUCCAUGCCCAUCCGAAAGGAUGAUGUUCAGGUUGUAUGAGGACACUAUAAAGGUCAGCAAACUGGCAAAGUAGUCUGGGUUUACAGGAAGAAAUAUGUCCUCUACAUUGAAUGGGUGCAACGGGAAAAGGAUAAUGGCACAACUGUGCAUACAGGCAUUCACCCCAACUGUGCACACAGGCAUUCACCCCAGCAAGGUGGUUAUCACUAGGCUAAAACUGGACAAAGACCGCAAAAUGCUCCUUGAACGGAAAGCCAAAUCUCGCCAAGUAGAAAAGUAAAAGGGCAAAUAUAAGGAAGAAACAAUUGAGCAGAUGCAGGAAUAA
rnacentral:lncRNA from 1 species